CUGUUACCUAUUGCACUUAUAUUAAGCAAAUAUAUAAAUUUAAUAGUAGGUCGAUAUAUUUCUUGUCUUUAACAUCUCGGUCUAGCUCCUAACUUGUAAUUGGAAAAAGCUGUGUAAGCGUCUCCAAUACAACUAAAAUGACUUAUGAUAUAAUUAUUAACAGUUAAUACUUAUAUUUAUUAGGUAGUAUUUUAUAUCAAAUUUAACGUACCUUAGAAAUAAGCACUUUAAAUGUUUUGUUCUUCAUAAUUGUUUCUUCUGUUAUGUCAGCGGCAGAUGUAUAUGACCGGGUUAUUGUUAGUUCGUCGUUAUGCCACGUUGCUAUCUGUUAAAAUAAAUAAAAGUUUUUGAUAUAAAAGUA